GUUGCAAAGAUAGCAUAGAAUAUAUGGACGCCACGAUCACUAAUGAACAAUCUGAUGAACUUUCACGAAACGUUGGUAACAUUUUAUUUAUUCUAGAAAAUUUUUGUGACCGCGCGCAAUGAGGUCGGUAGAGUCAGUGUUUGUUGCGCAAUAUUUUAAUAUUUUUCUAAAAUGGCUCUCAUAAAAUUAGACUAUUAAUUCGUUUAAAUUAUAAUUCACGAAGUUAGAGUCAGUGAGUCCGCUGAUUGAUACUUAAACACGCGCGUUGAUAGUCUUUUAUUUUUCUUUUUUUAUAUCUUUUCUUAUUCAACAUUCGUUUUCGAUACAUUAGAGUCAGUGCUCAAGAGGAUAAGGCCUCUCCUGAAGAUCAAGAUCACGCUUUAUCAAUUUUCUGCAUUUUGUUGGGGAAAAUCCAACGGUGGCUCUAAAGCCAAGAAU